rnacentral:rRNA from 1 species
UACGUAGGGUGCAAGCGUUUGUCCGGAAUUAUUGGGCGUAAAGAGCUCGUAGGCGGCUCGUCGCGUCGGCUGUGAAAACCUGGGGCUCAACCCCGGGCCUGCAGCCGAUACGGGCGAGCUAGAAUUCGGUAGGGGAGACUGGAAUUCCUGGUGUAGCGGUGAAAUGCGCAGAUAUCGGGAAGAACACCCGUGGCGAAGGCGGCUCUCUGGGACGGUACUGACGCUGAGACGCGAAAGCGUGGGGAGCGAACAGG